rnacentral:rRNA from 1 species
AUUGAACGCUGGCGGCAUGCUUUACACAUGCAAGUCGAACGGCAGCGCGGGCUUCGGCCUGGCGGCGAGUGGCGAACGGGUGGGUAAUACAUCGGAACGUGCCCAGUAGUGGGGGAUAGCUCGGCGAAAGCCGGAUUAAUACCGCAUACGACCUGAGGGUGAAAGCGGGGGAUCUUCGGACCUCGCGCUAUUGGAGCGGCCGAUGGCAGAUUAGCUAGUUGGUGGGGUAAAGGCCUACCAAGACGACGAUCUGUAGCUGGUCUGAGAGGACGACCAGCCACACUGGGACUGAGACACGGCCCAGACUCCUACGGGAGGCAGCAGUGGGGAAUUUUGGACAAUGGGCGAAAGCCUGAUCCAGCAAUGCCGCGUGUGUGAUGAAGGCCUUCGGGUUGUAAAGCACUUUUGGCGGGAACGAAAAGGACUGUGCCAAUACCACGGUUCGAUGACGGUACCCGCAGAAUAAGCACCGGCUAACUACGUG